GUGAAACCACUGAGCUAAAUCCCCGGCCCUGUGGCCACAUUUUUAAUAAACUUAAUUUAAAACAGCUCCAUUUUCAAUCAGUUGGCUUAGAAGAAGCAUAUGUAACCUUUGUCAGAAAUCUAACCUUUUCUUAUUGAAAAUUUAUUUUUUUAAAAAAAUUUUAUUUAUUUUUGAGACAGAGCCUGGGCUUGAAUUCACUAUGUAGCCCAGGCUGGCUGAGAACUCGCGGCAAAUCCUCCUGCCUCAGCCUCCCAAGUGCUGGGAUCACAGAUAUGCAUCACCAUGCCCGCCCCAACUUUUUAAAAACUUCUAUAAUGACAUUAAAAAUUUUUUAUUUUUGGCUUUUUGAGAUACAGUCUUGCUAUGUAGUUUGGGCUGGUCUUCAACUAUGUAGCCCAGGCUGGCCUUGAGCAAUCCUCCUGCCUCAGGCUCCUGUGCUGGUAUUACAGGCAGCUAAAUUAGAUAGAAAUAAAUACACAGUACAUUCAGAGGGGGACUGGGUUAUCAAAGAAGUCAGUGAAGCAGGGGAAGGCAUUAGAAUCGUAGCUGGAGGCGCAUCUGAAGAAGGCCAGGCCUCAAGGUAGAGAUGCAAUGGCCAGGCCUGCAGGCCUCCCUAAGGGAUAAAUAAUAAUUGUGAGAUCACAUUGUGAUUAGCACCACCUGGUGCAGGAAGUCCAGAUGGGCAUCGGUUGCCCAGGUGGGUGACAGAGCACUGGACCUUCCCUUCCCAAACUGCCUCUGUUCUUCCCAUCCACCCUUGCUGUGUGACUCGCUUCCCUGCUGCAUCAGUACCAGCUCAGCAGCUGUGGUUGUGUGACCCAUGCUGCACCCACCUCGUGUCUUUGCCGUAGAAAUUACCCCUGACAAAGGAUCAGUGGCCACCCCACUUGGGACCCCUCCUGCAAAUCCAGGAGCUAUUCUUCUCCCCUUAUUUCCAAUAAAACUUUGCUAACUUCUUUUGGUUUGCAACUUCAUUUCUCAAUGCUGUGGGACCACGAACUCGGCACAUCUGACACCCAGCAGGUCGGGAGUUACAGUUCUCCUUUGUCACCAGGAUUCAGAUGUGCGCCACAGUGCCAUUCUAGUAACUGCACACCAGACAAGGACUCCACUAUGUAGCCCAGGCUGGCCUUGAACUCACCAUGUAGCCUUGGCUGGCCCCAAACUCACAGCCUACCUCCUGCCUCAGCUUCCUGAGUGCUGGCGCCACCACACUCGGCCUACACCGCCUAUCGUUUUGAAUUCCUGCCAUUGUUCCAGGGCCUGGUGAUAAGGCAGUGAACUAAACAGACAAAAAUUCUUACCCUCCAGGAGCUUAAAUUCUAGUGGGAAGAGACAGAUAAACAGCUCGAAGGACAAUUUACACGGAACAUUAAAAUGGAGCACAGGGCGCUUACAGAGAUCAGAAAGAGGUGGGAUGCAACUGCUUCGCCAGCGUUUAACCUGUGAGAAAAACAGACCGGUCGGGGCCACUUCGCGCGUCCCUUCCAGACGCGACUGGAGUCGAGGCGGGGCACUGGGUCCCAGACUUCCCUUCUCCCGCGCCACCUAGGAACCUACAGGAUUGGGCAGUGUGAUUAACAAUAAGCGUUUAUGAGUAGAAGGGAGGGUGUGAGAGACACGAGAAUAAAGUGAGAAGGGGGUAAGGAAGAUGGGAGGGACGUAGUGAUCAGAAUAUAUGCAAAUAUGCAAGUACCACACCGAGCCCAGUAUUACGCAAAAUUAAUGUAAAACCAAUAAAAUAUACCUGAAAGAGG
ensembl:lncRNA